rnacentral:lncRNA from 1 species
UUGAAAUGUAGUUUACUUUUUGUUUGAGAAUUCACAUGACAUGUCAGUUUGUACAUUUUUAAGAGUCCAAAUUAGGUUCGUUUUGCAUAAUACAUGUGGUGUUUAAUACCAUUGUAUUCCAAAAAUGAUAUGAGCUUACCUUGUUGUAUCUCCAUGUAUAUCAUGAAAAUUUCUUUAAAAUUGGACGCUUGAUUGAUUGAAAGACCUAAUGAAUUGCUAUUAGUCUUUGUUUUCAAAGGGAUGGCCUAUGACCCUUUAAGAACUCAUCUGGAGCGAAGAGCAGCUGAGCAGGUAAUUACUCUGUCUCGAUUCUUGAUUGAUUGAAAGACCUAAUGAAUUGCUAUUUGUCUUUGUUUUCAAAGGGAUGGCCUAUGACCCUUUAAGAACUCAUCUGGAGCGAAG